CGCGGGGUAGAGCAGAUGGUAGCUCGCCGGGCUCAUAACCCGGAGGUCGCGGGUUCGAGUCCCGCCCCCGCAACCA
rnacentral:tRNA from 1 species